AUUGAACGCUGGCGGCAGGCCUAACACAUGCAAGUCGAGCGAGCGGCGGACGGGUGAGUAAUGUAUGGGGACUGCCCGAUAGCGGGGGAUAACUACUGGAAACCGUAUCUAAUCCCGCAUACAAUCGGCUUAGCCUUUUGGGUUUAGCUAGUAGGUGAGGGAAUGGCUCACCUAGGCGACGAUCCCUAGCUGGUCUGAGAGGAUGAUCAGCCACACUGGGACUGAGACACGGCCCAGACUCCUACGGAGGCAGCAGUGGGGAAUAUUGCACAAUGGGCGAAAGCCUGAUACAGCCAUGCCGCGUGUAUGAAGAAGGCCCUAGGGUUGUAAAGUACUUUCAGUAGGGAGGCGGUAAAGAAAGAAGAAGCACCGGCUAACUCCGUGCCAGCAGCCGCGGUAAUAG
rnacentral:rRNA from 1 species